AAACUCCCAAUUGUGCCUAUCACUGUAUGUAUAAGGAGAACCCAACUUUCAAAAAAUUGGAAAAAAAAAAAAAACUAAUUAAUUAUUUUAAUAAUAAUUAAUUAAAUUUUGUAGUAAUUAAUAUUAAAAAUUUAAGAAAUUAAGAUUUAGUAUUAUAAAAAUUAAUAACUAAUUUUGUGCCAGCAGUUGCGGUUAAACAAAAGUUAAAUUAAAUUUAUUCAGUAGAUAAUAAAUAAUAAAAUUACUUAAAAAAAUAUUAAAUUAUAAGGUGAAAUUUAAAUUUAAUUAAAAUUUAUGUAAAAAUUAUGAUUUAAUAAAUUUUAUUAUAAACUAGGAUUAGAUACCCUAUUAUUAAAAAUUUAAUUAUAAAUACUAAAAUAGUAGGUAAAUUAUAUUGAAACUUAAAUAAAAUGGCGGUAUUUUAGUUCAUUUAGAGGAAUCUGUCUAGUAAUUGAUAAUCCACGAAUAAAUUUACUUAAUAAAAAAUUUUGUAUAUCAUUGUUAAAAAAAUAUUUUUAAAUAAAAAUAAUAUUUAAAAAUUUUAAAUAGAAAUUAAUUCAGAUCAAGAUGCAGAUUAUAAUUAAGAUUAAGAUGGAUUACAAUAAAUUUAUUUAAAUGGAAAUUAAGUUUGUAAGUAUAAAAUUGAAGGUGGAUUUAAAUGUAAUUUUAAUUAAUUUAUUAAAAUGAUUAAUAAUUAAAAUAUGUACAUAUUGCCCGUCACUUUCAUUUAAAAAUUGAAAUAAGUCGUAACAAAGUAGAGGUACUGGAAAGUGUUUCUAGAAUGAU
rnacentral:ncRNA from 1 species